rnacentral:misc_RNA from 1 species
GAAAAAUGCAUCAACCUUUCUUUCCUCUUCAUAUUGUUACUUUUGGCAUGAGCAUUAUGGUCAUUUGCUGCUUUCACAUAAUUUGUAGUACGGGUAUUGCAUUUCUGUAUAUUAGUUUUGGGUGUGUUUUUCCCACUGACUUCCUGGAUAUGCUCUUUGUUGUGAGUUGUGACAUAACUAAACUGUUUUAUUCAUAUUUCAAAUUAUUUGAUCAAGGAGUUAACAGUGUUUGUUGGGUAAGGACAAGAUAAUUGUGAACUUAUAGUUGGUGUGCCAUACUUAGGGAAGCUUCUUUGUGACAAGGCACGUGGCUUCUAUGAGACUUGUUUUCAUGGGCCUUUUUUAUAUACUGUGCACACACUAUAUCAGGAAAAAAGUCUUUCCUCUUGAUUAGUUCUAUUGG